ensembl:lncRNA
AUGGUUUCAUGUUUCCACUUUUCUUCGUAUCCCACUGUCCCACUGCAUCCCAAGUUGCUACUUGUUUGAUAGGCUCAUUUUUUUUUCCUUUUUUUUUUUUUUUUCCUUUUAUGAAUCUGGUGGUGUCAUUUUCAUUUUUACGCUGGAAGCCUGUUUCACUGCGUUUCUGGCAAACCCCAUUGGUUAAACUUGUUUUACCACAUCAUGAUCUUUUUUAUAGCUCACAUCUGCCAGGAAAAGUUUGUCAUUCAUCAUCUUCCUUUCUGCUGUGUUCAUUUUCAGCUGUGCAUGAAAUGUGCUUGUAUUUCCAAAGCAAUGCAAAGCUUUCUGCUCCGGGGCCAGGGUGGAAGGAAUAGGCAGUGGGCAGUCUCUGCGCCAUGGCAUGUAAGUUGUGCUCAGAAGUGGGGAAGAAGAGAAAAAAAUGAUCCUGAGCAUAAACAAAGUAGGCUGUGGGACUCGGACUCCCCUUCCCAGCGGCAUCCCUUCAAGAGACUACUGCCCCAGGCAACUCCAGCUUUGCCUGUGUCUACAGCUGGCUCGUUCCCGGUGGAGAGGAGCUUUCCCCAGAAGCAGUCCCAUGGUGUAUGCAACAUUUCAGGGCUGCAUGCUUCCUCCAUUUUCGUAUUACUCAUCCUGUUACGGGUGAGAGUCGUGUUGAUGCCAGCAACCGUGUUUAAACAUGGGACAGCACUGAAGUACAGCUGUGUUUUGGUCACUGGGUUUCUAUACCUACCUUGCAUGAAAAGAAAAGCUGGACUGUGCCAAGCUGGUGUGCCUUGUCCCAGUACCGUGAGGACGCAGCCCUGCCCAACCAAGCACCGGGCAGCAGGACUAUGGGCUCAGAGGAUACGAGGAGGUCUCACACCACCACUCGGUCACCACCACCACUUCCCUUGGGCUGGGGUUGGAGAGGGCCAAGCUCUGCUCCUAGCAGCUCUCACAGGAGACUUGGCUGCCUCACCGUGCUCCUCCUCUGGCCCAGCUUUCCGAGGAAGAACACCCACUUCUGAGGGCUUUCUCUGUCUUCCUGCUGGAAGCUGAUGAAACACCCAGUCUUCCCGUAUAAAACAUUUCCAAGGUGCUGCCUCCGUGGGGCUCAGCAGGCUGCCACUCUGUGCCCCAUUCAUGGUGCAGCAGUGGCCGGAUCUGCACACUGAGUAAGCUGAGUUCCCGCAUGUUAGGGGGUGGGGGUCCCAGGGGCUGCUGGUGCCCGCACAGUGGGCAGUGCACAGCUCCCCUCUCCCAUGUCAGCACUGAUGGCUGAAGCAACAAGAGUCUCAGUGGAUGAUGAGGCCAAAAGAGGAGUCUUUUCUGUCUCAACAACCAUUGCAUUUUUCUUUGCACUCCUGUCAUGUGAAGACCAGGUCUUCAUUUUGGCAAUACAAUUUGAAGAGAAUGAGUUCAUCUGCUCUUUGUUGGGGUCUGUAGACCUUAGUGCUUCACAUUAGGUCUAGCAUCUGUUUAUGUUACUCCUGUUUCUUCUGCAGCUGGGUGUCACUGGGCUGUCAGGCUUCUUUGCACAUCUUUCUCUUCCCUUAAACUUCUGUUAAAUUUAGGUUUUGCUUGGCAACACACUCUUAAAGUUUUUUAAAGCUUCUGAUUAUACUUUUAUCCUUCUUUUCUUCAGAUUCAGCGAGGACCUGUGCAGACCCUGGACCUCUUCUCUGUCAAGAAAUUGUUUUUUCCUGUGAAAUGCUACAGGUGCUAAAGACAACUCAAACAGCAUUGCAGGAAGGAGUCCCCAAAGGGGUCCUGAGCGUGAGUGAAAGGGACACUGUGGACAUGUGCAGCACAGGAACAUGUUUGCCAUUAGCCCUAUUUCCAAGAGUAUCUCUGUAGGCAAUAGGAAAUGUUCAUUUUUCACAUCUCCACAGAAACAUCUGUACAUAAAGAUGAGGGGCCUGUGUCUCCUCCUUCAGACCUGCUCUGUUGGGAGCUUUCCCACAUCGUGGAGUUUCCUACAUCCUCCUUGGGGUACUCUCCUGUCCUUCUGAAGAGUGUCCUGCAUGCACUUGCUAGAAGUCCAUAGUUGCCAUAUCUUCUGAGAUUUAACAUUCUAAUUUCCAUAUUGCUUUUUUUUUUUUUCUCCCUAAUACUGCUGGGGUUGGGCACACACUGCACACUGACUUGUGUACUCACAAUCACUAAUGCUUUUUUUUCCUCCCUAGGCUGAAUCCGUCCUCACACUGCAGCACAACAGCAGCGCUCGCUACCAGGAGGACCAGAGCUGACACUGCUGCUGAUACAUUUUGUUUUUCCCUUUCUACCUCCAUUGGCUACCACUGCACGUGCCCUCACCUGUAUCAUUCACCACAGAGCGGACAGCGUUACAUGCUGUUUUCUGCGGUCUCCAGCAUUCACUUCGUGGUACCUUCCUGACUUGGGACUUCUUUCUUGCAGUAGUUUGUAUGAAACAUCUCACAGUGCUGCUUUCCAGGAACUCCAUUCUGGACAGGAUUAAUUCCUUUGUGUGGCAAAUUUUAAUUGUUCUAUCAAGGUGUUUUUUUCUUUCUUUUUUUUUUUUUUGAGUUUUCCAACCCCUUCCCCUGGUGUUUUGUCCCAAAUCCCAGCCAUAAUAUAUUCUCUCUAAUGAGAGAACAUAAUUGUAAGAUCGGUACUUCAACCUUCUAUUACUCACAGGCUCUUUUAUAGUUUCAUCCUGAGUUUGUACCAAGGUUGUUUUUUUUUUUUCCUAUUGAAAAAUAAGAGGUUGACGUAUUUCAUCUUUCUUGGAGGACCACUGUUCUUGCAUUGUUUUACUACCGUUUUGUACUCCUCUGCUGGAGUUAAGGAAAAGCCACAAAAAGGUGCUGGUUCCCCAAAUCAGCCAUUGUUAAGAAAGAGGGCAGCUGCUGACUCUUUUUAUUCACUAGAAGUGUCAAUAAAUGCUUUCAGUCAUUGUAUGUGUUUCUGAAG